UCCUUUUCACCUAGGAUCCAUAGUACAAAAACUCUGUUGCUGUGCGUAAAAGCAGACUGCAAUUUGUGCUCUAUUGCCAAGGAAUCAGGUGAAAAUCUGGGUUUACUAAAUGUUGGUAGAGGAUGAUUAUUGAAGUAUGGGAAGGCUGCUGAUGGACAGUAGCUCGUUUUGAAGAUGUCUUUUUUAGGGAUUACACGCGGAGAAAGGCGAUCAGUCAAGGGGAGAGUUGGCUGGUGAAAUUGACUAAUUUCUUUUCGUUCAGGAGAACUGGCUCCAAUGGCUCCGUCUCCCAGGAUAAGUAAUCGAAAGGAUGCCAACGCCUGGCCAAGCAUGUCCUCAACUUUCUGGGCAAUCAUGAUUCUGGCCAGCCUCCUAAUCCUCUUCUGCAGUCAACUGGCUGCUGGUACUUGUGAAAUUGUCACUCUGGACAGAGAUAGCAGUCAGCCUCGGAGGACUAUAGCUAGGCAAACAGCACGAUGUGCAUGUAAAAAAGGGCAAAUCGCUGGCACGACGAGAGCACAACCAGCCUGUGUUGAUGCACGAAUUGUAAAGACAAAACAGUGGUGUGAAAUGCUUCCUUGUUUGGAAGAAGAAGGAUGUGAUUUGCUAAUAAACAAAUCAGGUUGGACUUGUACGCAACCCGGAGGCCGAGUUAAAACAACAACCGCACUAUGACGUCACGGAAUUCCCUUUCAAAAACAUAAACAAACAUGGCGGAACGCUUUGCGAGCCCGACUGGCAACGAAAAACAACUACUUGUCAAGAACAGAUACGAAAGAAACAACAAAACAGCAAACCAAAGAGGCCAUAACAACACUGAAGGUCUCCUGACAAAUGUAGCAACAAAGAAUCUUCAUAGGAGCGGUUUAGACUGUGUGAGCUACCUACCUUAGUCAAGUUUCACUGCUGUGGAUCAUCUGUUUUAUGUCAUCAGCUCAACUGUCUGUUUCUCUGUAUCGCAAAGGACAGCUUCAUUUCUGACUAUGAGCUGAAGCCUGAUCAACACCAUACUGGAGUUCAGGACAGAGGGAUGUACUGUAGAUAUCAAAGACGGGAUUGGGCAUUAGCAGUACUGUGGUUUUAAUUUUAUAUUAAAUGUUUCGUACUGCUAUUGGACUUGGUUUUGUUUUCUUGGUUAAAGCAGAAGAACCUGGAGGACACAACUUCUUUCGUGGAGAGUUUACACAAAAAACAAUAUGGGCAAGAUGGACCUGUUCUUAUGGAUUUAGCUCUCCUGGAAUGGACUCAUCUCCUCACACUCAUGUUAUUGCAGACCAAAGAACAAAGAAUAUUUUGAAGUGGACACAACGCUCUUUGUGGACAAGGUUAACUUGUAAAAUUGCAAGAGCCCUUUGAAUGAUAUAUAUUCAGCUGUCAGACAGAAAAAAUAUUACUACCUGGUUUAAAUUUUUUUUGAACUCUGCAGUGACUGGUGGUUUUCAGAGAAACUGGUCUGAGAAAAUACUGAAGAGAUAACAGUGUACUGUAUGCCCUGUCACGUAAGAGACUUGGUACUGAAGGAGCACCUUGAAUUCUAUGUUGACUUUUACACAUACUGAAGUAAAUUGUUAUUUUUUAUGAACCUG